UGUCAAUGGUAAACUGACCUGGCACACUGGUGGGUGUGUCUUAGGGAAAGCUGCUUCCCUCCCAGCUCUGUUUUAGUUAGUCCUGAACUUGGUCCGGUGUCCAAGCCCCACCUCCAGAGUCAAGUCCUGCCUCCUAUCUCAAGAUAAUCAGAAGGAGCGGAAGUCUGAAAACAACCAAUCAUCCUGGAAGAAGACCCUGAGCUUUAGAUAAGACUACAGCUCCAGCUGACACCUUGAUUUCAGCCCCAUGAGACCCUGAGCAGAGAAUCCGGUUGAGCCGUGCUUGGAUUUUGACCUAUAGAGCUGUGAGAUAAUACAUUUGUGUUGCUUUAGUUGAUGCACUUCUGUCAAUUUGUUACACAGCAAUGAGAACUGAAUAAGGGAGAAACAAAUGCUGGGUAGACAGAAGCGACGGAUGUGCAUGAGGAGCUGAGACAGACAGCUGCCUGGAAUUGAGCCUUACUUAGCCUGGAAGCAUCCUGUUGUACCUUGUCAUCUGGCUCUGUGGACAGGCCUUUCUGGUCUUCACACUGAUGCAGAUGGCAGCAUGGAGUAGUGGUUAAGCCCGUGGACUUUGGAAUCAGGUUUUCUGCGCUCAAGUCUUGUCACUGCGAUCUACUAGCUGUGUGACCUUGGAUGCCAGACACUGUCCUGAGCACUAUCCAUGUGUCAUCACUUAAUCUUCACGGCAGCUUAUGAGGUAGGUACUAUUAUGAUCCCCAAUUUUGGUGAUGGGAAACUGAGGCAGAGAGCUGUUAGUAACAUUUAAAGUCACACAGCUAAUAAAUGGCAGAACUGGGAUAUGAACCCAG
rnacentral:lncRNA from 1 species